rnacentral:rRNA from 1 species
AUGACAGGACGUAGAAGGGUGCUUACAUUUCUCCUCCUGGGGCUCUUUCUCGGCCUCGCCGGAUCCAGCCCGCCGCCGGAGCCGGUGGAGUGCGCCCGCGGCACGUCCGACUGCACCGUCACCAACGUGUACGGCUCCUUCCCGGACCGCACCAUCUGCCGCGCGGCCAACGCCACGUUCCCGCGCACCGAGAAGGAGCUCGUGGCCGCCGUGGCUGCCGCCGCCGCGUCCAAGCGCAAGGUUAAGGUGGCCACCAGGCACUCCCACAGCUUCACCAAGCUGGCCUGCCCCGGCGGCCGCGACGGCACGAUCAUCAGCACGGAGCGGCUCAACAAGACGGUGAGCGUCGACGCUGCCAAGGGGCUGAUGACGGUGGAGAGCGGCAUGGUGCUCAAGGACCUGAUCCAGGCGGCCGCCGCGGCGGGGCUCGCGCUGCCGCACUCGCCCUACUGGUACGGACUCACCAUCGGGGGCCUCCUCGCCACGGGUGCCCACGGCAGUUCGCUGUGGGGCCCGUGCACGAGUACGUGGUAG